rnacentral:rRNA from 1 species
GACGAACGCUGGCGGCGUGCCUAAUACAUGCAAGUAGAACGCUGACGCAGGAGCUUGCUUCUCUGGAUGAGUUCCGAACGGGUGAGUAACGCGUAGGUAACCUGCCUUGUAGUGGGGGAUAACUAUUGGAAACGAUAGCUAAUACCGCAUAAUAGUAGAUGUUGCAUGACAUUUGCUUAAAAUUUGCACUUGCCUCACUACCAGAUGGACCUGCGUUGUAUUAGCUAGUUGGUGAGGUAACGGCUCACCAAGGCAACGAUACAUAGCCGAACCGAGAGGGUUAACGGGCACACUGGGACUGGGACACCGCCCAGGCUUCCUAGGGGAGCAGCAGGAGGGAAUCUUCGGCAAUGGAGGGAAGUCUGGACGAGGAAAGCCGCGUGAGUGGAGAAGGUUUUCGGGUCGGAAAGGUCUGUUGUUAGGGGAGAAAGAGUGUGAGAGUGAAAAGUUCACGCUGUGACGGUAUCUAACCAGAAAGCAACGGCUAACUACGUG